rnacentral:lncRNA from 1 species
UCUCUAUUUUAUCUUCAAGAAUCUUUUGUUAGAACAAUAACUACUUUUUUGGUGGGUAGAAGAAUAACUAUUCCAUUUCUGUCUAUCUAUUGUCAUGGGACUGCAUGAUACUGGGAUUUAGAUUUGCAGAGGAGCAGCCUCAGGAUGAUUAUAUGCCUCAGAACUUGCAGGAAAUUUACUAAUUUAUGCAGCAGAACAUGUUAUUUAUGGGUCCUAUG